UACGGAGGGACCAAGCGUUGUUCGGAGUUACUGGGCGUAAAGGGUGUGUAGGCGGUUCUUUAAGUUUGGUGUGAAAUCUCCCGGCUCAACUGGGAGGGUGCGCCGAAUACUGAGGGACUAGAGUACGGGAGAGGAAAGUGGAAUUCCUGGUGUAGCGGUGAAAUGCGUAGAUAUCAGGAGGAACACCGGUGGUGUAGACGGCUUUCUGGACCGUAACUGACGCUGAGACACGAAAGCGUGGGGAGCGAACAGG
rnacentral:rRNA from 1 species